AUACGGAGGGUGCAAGCGUUAAUCGGAAUUACUGGGCGUAAAGCGUACGUAGGCGGCUUGUUAAGUCAGAUGUGAAAGCCCCGGGCUCAACCUGGGAACUGCAUUUGAAACUGGCAGGCUAGAGUAUGGUAGAGGGGGGUAGAAUUUCUGGUGUAGCGGUGAAAUGCGUAGAUAUCUGAAGGAAUACCAGUGGCGAAGGCGGCCCCCUGGACCAAUACUGACGCUGAGGUACGAAAGCGUGGGUAGCGAACAGGAUUAGAUACCCCGGUAGUCC
rnacentral:rRNA from 1 species